CGAAAACGUAAGAAUUACAGUUUUUUGUUCCCAUCCCGAACACAGAAGUUAAGCCCUACUGCGCUGAUGAUACUGCAUGGGAAGCCGUGUGGGAAAGUAGGUCGC
rnacentral:rRNA from 1 species